rnacentral:rRNA from 1 species
AUUGAACGCUGGCGGAAUGCUUUACACAUGCAAGUCGAACGGUAGAGGGGGCAACCCCUCGAGAGUGGCGAACGGGUGAGUAAUAUAUCGGAACGUGCCCAGUCGUGGGGGAUAACGUAGCGAAAGUUACGCUAAUACCGCAUACGAUCGAAGGAUGAAAGCGGGGGAUCGCAAGAGCUCGCGCGAUUGGAGCGGCCGUCAUCAGAUUAGGUAGUUGGUGGGGUAAAGGCUCACCAAGCCAACGAUCUGUAGCUGGUCUGAGAGGACGACCAGCCAAACUGGAACUGAGACACGGUCCAGACUCCUACGGGAGGCAGCAGUGGGGAAUUUUGGACAAUGGACGCAAGUCUGAUCCAGCCAUUCCGCGUGCAGGAUGAAGGCCCUCGGGUUGUAAACUGCUUUUGUACGGAACGAAAAGGUCUCUCUUAAUACGGGGGACUCAUGACGGUACCGUAAGAAUAAGCACCGGCUAACUACGUGCCAGCAGCCGCAGUAA